CUUCUCCCGUUCUGUAGGUUGUCUUUUACUUUUGUGGACUGUUUCUUUUCCUGUGCAGGAGCUUUCAAUCUGGGUGAAGUCCCAAUACUUCAUUGUUGCUUUUGUUUCUCUUGCCCAUGCGGAUGUAUCUUGUGAGACGUUGCUCUGGCCAAGUUGAGAAUGGGNCUCCUUAAUUUUCGAGGCUCUUCUAACAGCAACCUGUCAACAGCUCUUUCUAUAUCCACUUAUUUCCCAGGAUCUACUGUGGAAACGCCAGAACGAGAACCGUGUAGACAACCUGGGGACACCCGCCCUGGAACGUGGGUGAAAAUACUUAAUUUAACAUCCCCUGUGGCACACACAGAAGUUGGAACCGUCCGUGGCAUCAUUAGAAGAUCUUGCCAAGGCUGUGGCGUCUGAGUUUGAAGAAUCCUUGAAAGACUCUCCACCCACUUCUAUGGGAAGCCUGCCCCAUUUUACCUGUAUUAGAAAUGUUGCUCUCUUGGUUUUCCUCUUUUUGAAGGGAAUGCACAUAUGGUCGCCUCAGAAAGCAGCGAAACUGGUGUGUAUUCUGGAAUCAUCAGUCUCUUGCUUAGGAAAAACUCUAAAUAGUAAGGCAGAUGGGGCAACCUUGCUGUCCUCACACCCAGACACCCUUGCUGUCCAGGCACCCAGAUUCCAUGUUCCUAAGGCUUGGGAGUGUGUGAGAUAGGCAGCUUUCCCAGGUGAGAAAAGAGGUCCGUGUUUCUACAUUCCUAGGAAGCCAAUGUAUUCUCUGUGCGUGGAGUGGCUGUGAGUGCAACAGGCUUGGGGGAGGUGACUUGUUGACUCUAUGCAGUGUGUGAGAGAGAGACAGACCGAUAGUGAGAGAGAGAGGAUAGAGACAGUGACACAGAGAAAUACAGAGAAAGUGAGGAGGAGAAUGAGUGAGGUAGACUCCCCAGCAGAUAUGUCCCACCGACACCACAAGAUGGACUCAGUCGACAUUCUUAAAAAAUAACAAAAAA
rnacentral:lncRNA from 1 species